GCCGGCCGCAGGGCUCAGAGUAACAGGCGCGCUGAUUGGAGGAGAGCUGAGGCGGCCGUUGUCUCGGCAACCGGGUGUCCGCACUCCGGUGCCGCCGAGGGCCGGGGCUGCACCGGCGGGAACGGGCGGGGACCGGCAGGCCAUCCCAACAUGGACUCCCUCACCAAGGGAAUAACAUCUUCCUUCCAAAGGCCUCCCACCCAACAAGGAACAACGAAUUUACUCCAGAUUUAUUCCAGAGUCUGCAGCCUCAGCCACACAAACCCACCAGGGAAGCAAAGAAAACUCCUUCCAGGAGAGUGAGUGCCAUGGGCUGUGUGGAAAUCCCUCACAGCAGGGGGAUCCCAGCGUGUCCUGGUGCAGAGGCAGUGGCUGCUGUCCCCAGGAAGUGGCUGGGAGGUGGCAGUGCCCGGAGGGGCAGUGUGGGUUGGGAACAGCCUGGAGCAGUGGAUCAGGGGCCCUUUAUCAGCUGAUCUCCCAGACAUUUACAAACAGUAAUUAAACUCUGCGCCACCCUGGGAUGUGGGGGCCACUUCUUAUCCCCACUGCAUGGAGCAAGAAGCCAGAGCACACCUGACCUGGAAAAAGAUUCCCCAUUCCCCAGGCAGAGGCUUCAGGCUGGGCUGGGUUUGUGCCUGAACAGAGGAACACUGAGGAUAAAGCCCCAAAUGUGGGACCCCUGGGCAGGAAUGGUGAGGGACACUCCUGUCUGAUAACACUUGGCCAUUCCCCCAGCCCCUGCUGCAUCACAGCUGGAGAGAGGCUGGAAAAGUUCUUCCUGCCAUUCCCAGUGUUCCAUCCUGACACCGUUUCAGAGGGAUGAAAAGCCAAGAACAGAAACUCCCUUCUCCUAAGCCCUCCCAGCCCUUGGGAUCCUCAUGGGAAGACAAAUAAAUCCAUCAGCAGAUCGUUCAAAAGCAUUUUUUGUCACCACAGUGACGUUGCCUGGCCUGAGAUUAAGAUCAUCAAUAAAUUCCUGACCAUGGAAAAGAAUGAGCCCAUGAGAAAGGCCAGGGCUGUCCUUACCCAUCAGGGAAAUCUUUACUACAUGUCUCAGCAGCUGGAUCUUGUAUCAGGGCUUUGGGGAAAGGGAAGCAAUGCCAGGAGGGGUUUGAUAAGGACAGAGGGCUGGAGGAAAGGGCAAAUUAAAUCUGAGGAGGGAAGAUCCCCAGCCUGUGUUAUCAGAAAGCACACAAACACCCCACACCCCGCUGCUGGGGUUAGAGCCUGCUCCCUCUGCUGUUCCAGGCACGGGGAGAGCAGGAGGGGAUCCCAGCUGGGUCCUUUGGCAUCCCUGUCCUGUUCCAGCAGUGUCUGGGGAGGGCAGCAGCCAGGCCUCUGCAAGGCUGGGCCAUGGCAAAUGCAGGUAUUUCACAAUGAACAGCACUUCCAUUUCCCAAAGCUCUUCAUUUCCCAAAGGUUUUGGCUUAGAAGGAUUAAGCCUCACCCUCAGGGCCACACAGUAGCUCUGGAGUCCUCACUAUCAGCUCCUCGUCCAGCUUGGCUGGAUCAUAUUUUACAAUAUUAUUUUUAAAGCAGGGCACCCCCGGACAGGGCGCGUGGGUGUCCCAACAAAACACAGGAUGCUGUUUGUCCCUCACAGCCCUGCAGAGCCUCACCACACACCGAGCUCCUCAGCUGCCUGCCUGAUGAUGCAAGCAGUGAAUAAGCACGAAUAAAGACACAGAAACUGGGUGUUGUUUGUAGAAGUGAGGAGCAGAGCCCUCCACCCAGCGCUGGGGAUACCAGAGCUCUUGCACAACUCAGCUGUCAGCCUGCUGCUCCUUUUUGUGCAUCUCUCUGGGCACUUUUUCACCAGGAGCACUCGGGAAGUUUUCCUUCCUCCCCGGCUUGGGGGAGGGAGCAGCUCCCGGCCUGUGAGCAGCAGAGCUGGGAUGCCGGAGUGGGAUUCCUGCGUCAGGAUUUCCCUCAGACCCAGCCCACAUGAGCGGGCCUGUGCUGGCCUGCCAGGGCUGGCUCACGGGCAGCUCAUUAGUGCUACUCGGCUCUAAGAAUUGGAAGAUGAUCAUUAACUACAAUUGGUUUGAAAGCUUCCAGUUUUGAGAAGUUGAGUAAUUAAAGCAACCAAUGGGCUCCGCUGUGUUUCCACCUGAGAGCUCGCGGUGCUGGAGGCUGGGGAGUCACCCUGGAGGGGACUCAGCCCUGAGCAGGGCGGGAAUGAGGGAGAAGGGCAGGGGCAGCUCCUGCUGGCCCAGGGACGGGCACUGGGCUCUGUCACACACCCAGCAGAGUCCAGACACCCCCUGUGCCCCCCCUGCCAGGCCCAGCUCGGCUGAGCCUGUCUGAGCACGGAGCAGGGUCCUGGCAGCUCCCGAGGGAGCCCCUUGCAAACACUCGGGGCUUUCACACGACCUUUGGUGCUCGGGGUGAAAAUCGCCUUCACCGCUGCUAUCUCAUCUUCAAAAGGAACCGGUGGGCUCCGGGCAAGGAGUCAGGAAUGCUCUCGCAUAUUUGGGAGCUCUGCUUUACGCAACCUCCCAGCAGCUCGCCUUGGCUGCAAGGGAUGAGCGAUACUGAGCCAGUCAGCAAAACACCCACCCGGGCGGGCAGGGCCGGGGACUGCCCCGGCAGCGCCUCCCUGCUGCAGCGGCACGGCCGGGCCACCAGCCCCGGCACGGCACGGCCUCAGCCCGGCCUCAGCCCCGCACGGAAACGCGCCCGAUCUCUGCCUCACCCCACCCCUGAGACCCCUGCACUGUCACAGUGCAGACUCGGGGAGCUGCAGCCGGGCUGGGCCUGACCCUGCAAAGCCCAGGAUGGGUCUGUGGGAAAGGGAACCCAUAAAAUCCAGCGAAAUUCAUCUCUGUUCUGCUGGGAACAUAAAGGUACAGCUGAGAUGGAUUUUGCUGAUGUAAAUCAGGAGUGGUGCUGCGGGAGUCUCCAGCUGGGCUGGAGGAACUGAGGCUCAGGUGGGUAAAUGUUUAUCUGCAGGAAGUUAACGCCGAGAUCAGAGUUCAGAACAACUCACUGCGGGGUGAGAGCCCCCAAACCCCCAGCUCUGUGUGCACACAACAGCCCGGGGCUGCCUGCAGCCCUCCCCGUCUGUCCUGCACAGCAGGGCCAGCUGUCCCCACUGCCACGGCUCCCCCAGGCCAGGGGGACACCUCUGUCCCUGUCCCCAUGGCCAGGCAGGACAGCGCCACCCCGGCUGGGAUGAGCCCUGGAGCUGUCCCAGAGCAGGGUCCCCACAGCCCUGACACAGCAGGGGACAGGGGACCCACAGCUUUCGGCUGGUGACACUGAGCACUGGGGGAGUCCUGCUGGGACUGGUUUUAACUGGAGCUGAA